UAAGAACAUUAUUUAUUUGCAAUGAAGAGAAAUUUCACCUUGAAAUUGCUGCUUUUACAAAAGCAGAGUAAAAGGAAAAAUGAAAGAAUUUCU
rnacentral:sRNA from 1 species